rnacentral:rRNA from 1 species
UACGGAGGGUGCAAGCGUUAUCCGGAUUCACUGGGUUUAAAGGGUGCGUAGGCGGGCAGGUAAGUCAGUGGUGAAAUCUCCGAGCUUAACUCGGAAACUGCCGUUGAUACUAUCUGUCUUGAAUACUCGGGAGGUGAGCGGAAUAUGUCAUGUAGCGGUGAAAUGCUUAGAUAUGACAUAGAACACCAAUUGCGAAGGCAGCUCACUACAGAGUCAUUGACGCUGAGGCACGAAAGCGUGGGGAUCAAACAGGAUUAGAAACCCCAGUAGUCC